ACGAACGCUGGCGGCAUGCCUUACACAUGCAAGUCGAACGGCAGCACGGGAGCUUGCUCCUGGUGGCGAGUGGCGAACGGGUGAGUAGUGCAUCGGAACGUGCCCUGAAGUGGGGGAUAACGUAGCGAAAGUUACGCUAAUACCGCAUAUUCUGUGGGCAGGAAAGCAGGGGACCGCAAGGCCUUGUGCUUUAGGAGCGGCCGAUGUCGGAUUAGCUAGUUGGUGAGGUAAAGGCUCACCAAGGCGACGAUCCGUAGCGGGUCUGAGAGGAUGAUCCGCCACACUGGGACUGAGACACGGCCCAGACUCCUACGGGAGGCAGCAGUGGGGAAUUUUGGACAAUGGGCGCAAGCCUGAUCCAGCCAUGCCGCGUGAGUGAAGAAGGCCUUCGGGUUGUAAAGCUCUUUCGGCGGGGAAGAAAUGGCGCUUUCUAAUACAGAGCGUCGAUGACGGUACCCGCAUAAGAAGCACCGGCUAACUACGUG
rnacentral:rRNA from 1 species